AGUGAACGCUGGCGGUAGGCCUAACACAUGCAAGUCGAACGGCAGCACAGGAGAGCUUGCUCUCUGGGUGGCGAGUGGCGGACGGGUGAGGAAUACAUCGGAAUCUACUUUUUCGUGGGGGAUAACGUAGGGAAACUUACGCUAAUACCGCAUACGACCUACGGGUGAAAGCAGGGGACCUUCGGGCCUUGCGCGAUUGAAUGAGCCGAUGUCGGAUUAGCUAGUUGGCGGGGUAAAGGCCCACCAAGGCGACGAUCCGUAGCUGGUCUGAGAGGAUGAUCAGCCACACUGGAACGGAGAAACGGUCCAGACUCCUACGGGAGGCAGCAGUGGGGAAUAUUGGACAAUGGGCGCAAGCCUGAUCCAGCCAUACCGCGUGGGUGAAGAAGGCCUUCGGGUUGUAAAGCCCUUUUGUUGGGAAAGAAAUCCAGCCGGCUAAUACCUGGUUGGGAUGACGGUACCCAAAGAAUAAGCACCGGCUAACUUCGUGCCAGCCGCCGCCGUAACAC
rnacentral:rRNA from 1 species